rnacentral:tRNA from 1 species
GCCCCGUUCGGAUAUGGGUUAGUCUGCUGCCCUUUCACGGCGGCGGAGCGGGUUCGAGUCCCGCACGGGGUGCCC